AUUGAACGCUGGCGGCAGGCCUAACACAUGCAAGUCGAGCGGAUGAAGGGAGCUUGCUCCUGGAUUCAGCGGCGGACGGGUGAGUAAUGCCUAGGAAUCUUCCUGGUAGUGGGGGAUAACGUCCGGAAACGGGCGCUAAUACCGCAUACGUCCUGAGGGAGAAAGUGGGGGAUCUUCGGACCUCACGCUAUCAGAUGAGCCUAGGUCGGAUUAGCUAGUUGGUGGGGUAAAGGCCUACCAAGGCGACGAUCCGUAACUGGUCUGAGAGGAUGAUCAGUCACACUGGACCUGAGACACGGUCCAGACUCCUACGGGAGGCAGCAGUGGGGAAUAUUGGACAAUGGGCGAAAGCCUGAUCCAGCCAUGCCGCGUGUGUGAAGAAGGUCUUCGGAUUGUAAAGCACUUUAAGUUGGGAGGAAGGGCAGUAAGUUAAUACCUUGCUGUUUUGACGUUACCAACAGAAUAAGCACCGGCUAACUUCGUG
rnacentral:rRNA from 1 species